rnacentral:rRNA from 1 species
AAUUAUUAAUCUUUAUAAUUUUACUAUCAAAUCCACCUUCAAUAAACAUUUCAAAUUUAUAUUCAUUUAAAUAUUUUUAUUGUAACCCAUUUCUACUUAAAUAUUAGCUACACCUUGAUCUGAUAUAUUUUCUUUUUAAAAAUUAUGAAAAUUAACAUUCUUAUAAAAUAUUCUAAUAACGACGGUAUAUAAACUGAUUACAAACUUAAGUAAGGUCCAUCGUGGAUUAUCAAUUACAGAACAGGUUCCUCUGAAUAGACUAAAAUACCGCCMAAUUUUUUAAGUUUCAAGAACAUAACUACUACUACCUUAGUUUUUAAAUUUACAUUUUAAAUAAUAGGGUAUCUAAUCCUAGUUUAUUAUUAAAAUUUUCAAGCUCUCAAUUAUUUUAUAAAA